rnacentral:rRNA from 1 species
CCUUUUGUAUAAUGGGUCAGCGACUUACAUUCAGUAGCGAGGUUAACCAUAUAGGGGAGCCGCAGAGAAAUCGAGUCCGAACAGGGCGCUAGUUGCUGGGUGUAGACCCGAAACCAAGUGAUCUAUCCAUGGCCAGGUUGAAGGUGCGGUAACACGCACUGGAGGACCGAACCCACUAAUGUUGAAAAAUUAGGGGAUGAGCUGUGGAUAGGGGUGAAAGGCUAAACAAACUUGGAAAUAGCUGGUUCUCUCCGAAAACUAUUUAGGUAGUGCCUCAAGUAUCACCAUCGGGGGUAGAGCACUGUUAUGGCUAGGGGGUCAUCGCGACUUACCAAACCAUUGCAAACUCCGAAUACCGAUGAGUGCGAGCUUGGGAGACAGACAUCGGGUGCUAACGUCCGGUGUCAAGAGGGAAACAACCCAGACCGCCAGCUAAGGUCCCAAAGAUUGGCUAAGUGGAAAACGAAGUGGGAAGGCUAAAACAGUCAGGAUGUUGGCUUAGAAGCAGCCAUCAUUUAAAGAAAGCGUAAUAGCUCACUGAUCGAGUCGUCCUGCGCGGAAGAUGUAACGGGGCUAAGCCAGUCACCGAAGCUGCGGAUAUGCGUAAGCAUAUGGUAGGAGAGCGUUCUGUAAGCCUGCGAAGGUGUCUUGUAAAGGAUGCUGGAGGUAUC